GGGGAUUUAGCUCAGCGGUAGAGCGCUUGCCUAGGAAGCGCAAGGCCCUGGGUUCGAACCCCAGCUCCG
rnacentral:tRNA from 1 species